UUCCGUAGGUGAACCUGCGGAAGGAUCAUUAAUGAAACUUCAAAGUCGGCCAAAGGUUGUUGCUGGUGAUUAUUCACAUGUGCACGCCUUUGGUCGCAAAUCCACACACACCUGUGCAUCUAUGACUCGAGGUUGUAAUGACUGAGAGUAACUUUUAUACACUCUUGUAUGUAAUGGAAUGUCUUUUUGUGCUAUAAUGUACAAUAUAAACAACUUUCAACAACGGAUCUCUUGGCUCUCGCAUCGAUGAAGAACGCAGCGAAAUGCGAUAAGUAAUGUGAAUUGCAGAAUUCAGUGAAUCAUCGAAUCUUUGAACGCACCUUGCACCCUUUGGUAUUCCGAAGGGUACGCCCGUUUGAGUGUCAUUGUAAUCUCACUUCUACAACUUUAUUGUUGUUUGAAUGUGGACUUGGAUGUUGCCGUUUUAUCACGGCUCGUCUUAAAUGCCUGAGUGUACCCUGUUUUGCAGCGUAUCCAGUGUAAUAAACAUUUCACUAGAGUUGGUUGAAAGACCGCGUUGACUAUAUGGGCUCUAUGCUUCAAACCGUCUGCCAUGUGGACAAUUUCUUGACAAUUUGACCUCAAAUCGGGUGGGACUACCCGCUGAACUUAAGCAUAUCAAUAAGCGGAGGAAAAGAAACUAACAAGGAUUCCCCUAGUAACGGCGAGUGAAGAGGGAAAAGCUCAAAUUUUAAAUCUGGUGUCUUUGACUCCCGAGUUGUAAUCUAGAGAAGUGUUUUCCGUGUCGGACCGUGUACAAGUUCCCUGGAACGGGGCGUCAUAGAGGGUGAGAAUCCCGUAUAUGCCACGGACUACCGAUGCUCUGUGAUACACUCUCAACGAGUCGAGUUGUUUGGGAAUGCAGCUCAAAAUGGGUGGUAAAUUCCAUCUAAAGCUAAAUAUUGGCGAGAGACCGAUAGCGAACAAGUACCGUGAGGGAAAGAUGAAAAGCACUUUGGAAAGAGAGUGAAACAGUACGUGAAAUUGUUGAAAGGGAAGCGUUUGAAGUCAGUCGCAUCUGUUGGGGUUCAGCCUGGCUUUUGCCUGGUGUAUUUCCUUUCCGAUGGGUCAGCAUCAGUUUUGACCGAGGGAAAAAGACAUUUGGAAUGUGGCUGUCUUCGGGCAGUGUUAUAGCCUUGUGUUGUAUGUCUCGGU
rnacentral:rRNA from 1 species